rnacentral:rRNA from 1 species
AAUAUUGCACAAUGGAGGGAACUCUGAUGCAGCAACGCCGCGUGAGUGAAGAAGGUUUUCGGAUCGUAAAACUCUGUCAUUGGGGAAGAAUAAAUGACGGUACCCACUGAGGAAGCCCCGCCUAACUACGUGCCAGCAGCCGCGGUAAUACGUAGGGGGCGAGCGUUGUCCGGAAUUACUGGGCGUAAAGGGCGCGUAGGCGGCCCAAUAAGUCAGAUGUGAAAGUCCUGGGCUUAACCCAGGGAUUGCAUUUGAAACUGUUGGGCUUGAGGACAGGAGAGGAAAGCGGAAUUCCCAGUGUAGCGGUGAAAUGCGUAGAUAUUGGGAGGAACACCAGUGGCGAAGGCGGCUUUCUGGACUGCACCUGACGCUGAGGCGCGAAAGCCAGGGUAGCGAAC